rnacentral:rRNA from 1 species
GACGAGCCUCACAAACGUUAUUCGGAAUUACUGGGCUUAAAGGGUGCGUAGGCGGCGCGGAAAGUUGGGUGUGAAAUCCCUCGGCUCAACCGAGGAAUUGCGCUCAAAACUACCGUGCUCGAGGGAGAUAGAGGAAUGCGGAACUUACGGUGGAGCGGUGAAAUGCGUUGAUAUCGUAGGGAACACCGGUGGCGAAAGCGGCAUUCUGGAUCUCAUCUGACGCUGAUGCACGAAAGCUAGGGUAGCAAACGGG